ACAGUUAUGUCUGCAAUACUGUAUUUUUGAAAUAGGCUAAUAUGUAAAUGCUACAGGACAACAUGUAAUGACACUUAUUAUUUUAUUUUAUGUAUUUAUUUAAAAAGUCAGCUGUGGCACUAGUUUGGAAAUAAAAGCUUUGGCACUUUACAAUAACUGCAAUAAAUGCAGCCUAUUAAAUGAAUUAUAAACAUUCAUGUAGAUUCUGAUAAUGUACAUAUCUUUGUCAAAAAUGUUUGAUAAGAAACACAUUUAGACAACAUGUGUGCGUAGCGCAGUACGUGUGAUGUCACGACGUCAUCAGCAAAUUUGCGCCCGGUGCACAUGCGCAUUGCGAGUUUGCGCAGACAGGUGUCUACGGUCGGAGUGGAAUGAAGAAGUUGCAUCUGAUAAUUCUUCCAUUGUGUAGCAGCAACUGCAGCUGACAUGGAAUGAGGAUUAUCGGAUUCACCUCUCACUGAUCAUCCAAGGUGAAUUGAUGACCUCAAGCAAAUGGAUGUUGUCAUCUGAAGAGAAAGUUAUCCUGGGCCCAUGUUUAGAGGCAUUUGGGGCAUAUCUGACACAUCACAAUCAAGCUGCAUGCACACUUGAGUUUAUUCAGAGAGAAGUUGUGGGCAUCAGUCCGGAAACUGGAUAAAAAAUUUGCUGCUGGAAUGUGAGACAAAUAAAGGCAUGGAAUGAACCCAAAUGUAUGAACACUGCUACGAAAACUAAUGGACUUUGAAUGGCUUGCCAGUUAAUUCCAAUGGAAUUGAAGAAGAGACUCUGACAAGAUUUUCAAGUUUGUGUUUAAUUUAAA